rnacentral:lncRNA from 8 species
AUGUCUCUCUGUCUCUCCUUCUCCCUCUCUCGUUCUGUCUCUUUCAUCUCUAUUUGCUUCUGUUUACAUAUUUCUUCAUCAUUCUCUCUUUCAAUCUCUCUCUGUCUCUCUUUCUCCCUCUCUCGUUCUUCCUCUUCCAUCUUUAUUUGCAUCUGUUUACAUCUUUCUUCUUCAUUCUCUCUUUCAAUCUCUCUCUGUCUCUCUUUCUCCCUCUCUCGUUCUUUCUCUUCCAUCUCUAUUUGCUUCUGUUUACAUAUUUCUUCAUCAUUCUCUCUUUCAAUCUCUCUCUGUCUCUCUUCUUCUCUUUCUUUCUCUUCCAUCUCUAUUUUCUUCUGUUUACAUCUUUCUUCUUUAAGCUCUCUUUCAAUCUCUCUCUGUCUCUCUUCUUCUCUUUCCAAAUGUUUCUGUCUCUUCUCCAUUCUCUUUCUUUUGAUCUGUCUCUGUCUCUCUUUCUCCCUCUCUCGUUCUUCCUCUUCCAUCUCUAUUUGCUUCUGUUUGUGUCUCUCCUCCUCUUCUUCUUCUCUCUCCAUCUCCUUCUUCUCAUCUUCUUGUUGUCUCUGUUUUGGUAUUGUCUCCAUUCUCUUUCUUUCUACAUCUUUCUGUUUGUUGUUCUCACCCUCCAUCUUCUCCUCCAUGUCCAUUUGGUUCUGUUUCCAUAGAUUUUUGUCUGUUUCCAUAUUUUCUAAUUCUAUCAGCUGUUCCUUGAUUUUCUUGAAGACUUCCUCCAAUUCAGACGUCUUUUUGUCAUUGAUGAGGGCUGUCUCCAUCUCCAUCUCUCUCUCCACUCUAUUUUUCAUCUCCUCUUCUCUUCGUCUCCAAUCAUUUUCUCUCUCUCUGUCUCUAUCAAAUGUUCUCUCUGGUUCAGUCUCAUCUUUCAAUCUAAUCUCUUCUUUCAUUCUCGCAACCUCUCUGUCUAACACUAGUACAUUUUGGUUAACCUGUUUCACUCUCUCAUUCUGUCUUCUAUACGCUUCUUUCGCUCUUUCAAAUUUGAUUUUGUAUUGUAUUUCUAUGUAUCAUUCUCUGCAAAUCCUUUGAAAGUAUGUCUUGGUCAUAGAUUAUCACUAAUUUCACCUUUUAAAAUGAAGCAAGAGAUAGAGAGAUUGAGGCUAUGGCAGAAAGUCAUGGAGGAUCAGCGACCAAGACUGGCCUGGAACAACAAACCUAUUGAGACAGAAAGAGAGAGGGAAAGAGAGAGGGAAAGAGAGAGGGAAAGGGAGAUGGAAAGGGAGAGAAAAGCAGAAUUGGAAAGACAAGAAAUGAAGAAGAAAGUGAAACAGGCAGAAGAAACGAUAAAAGCGUUAGAACGAGAGAUUGAGAGAUUGAAAGAGAUUGAAAAGGAGAUAAUAUUUGAAAGAGGAAGAGACAUGCGUAUUGCAGAGAAUGAGAAAGUCAAACUGGUUAACGAAAAGGCAAAAGAGUUAGAGAGAGAGGUUGAGAGACUGAAAGAAGAUAUGACAACAAAAGAAAUGCAAUACAAAAUCAAAUUUGAAAGAGCGAAAGAAGCGUAUAGAAGACAGAAUGAGAGAGUGAAACAGGUUAACCAAAAUGUACUAGUGUUAGACAGAGAGGUUGCGAGAAUGAAAGAAGAGAUUAGAUUGAAAGAUGAGACUGAACCAGAGAGAACAUUUGAUAGAGACAGAGAGAGAGAAAAUGAUUGGAGACGAAGAGAAGAGGAGAUGAAAAAUAGAGUGGAGAGAGAGAUGGAGAUGGAGACAGCCCUCAUCAAUGACAAAAAUACGUCUGAAUUGGAGGAAGUCUUCAAGAAAAUCAAGGAACAGCUGAUAGAAUUAGAAAAUAUGGAAACAGACAAAAAUCUAUGGAAACAGAACCAAAUGGACAUGGAGGAGAAGAUGGAGGGUGAGAACAACAAACAGAAAGAUGUAGAAAGAAAGAGAAUGGAGACAAUACCAAAACAGAGACAACAAGAAGAUGAGAAGAAGAAGGAGAUGGAGAGAGAAGAAGAAG